GACAGAGGAUGCAAGCGUUAUUCGGAAUGAUUGGGCGUAAAGCGUCUGUAGGUGGCUUUUAAGUCCGCCGUCAAAUCCCAGGGCUCAACCCUGGACAGGCGGUGGAAACUACCAAGCUGGAGUACGGUAGGGGCAGAGGGAAUUCCGGUGGAGCGGUGAAAUGCGUAGAGAUCGGAAAGAACACCAACGGCGAAAGCAGGUCUCUGGGCCACUACUGACGCUGAGACGACGAAAGCGUGGGGAGCAAACAGG
rnacentral:rRNA from 1 species